UACGAAGGGGGCUAGCGUUGCUCGGAAUCACUGGGCGUAAAGGGUGCGUAGGCGGGUCUUUAAGUCAGGGGUGAAAUCCUGGAGCUCAACUCCAGAACUGCCUUUGAUACUGAAGAUCUUGAGUUCGGGGAGAGGUGAGUGGAACUGCGAGUGUAGAGGUGAAAUUCGUAGAUAUUCGCAAGAACACCAGUGGCGAAGGCGGCUCACUGGCC
rnacentral:rRNA from 1 species